AUGGCCGGCACCAGCGAUCGUGGAUCCCUCAUGGAGGACUGGAUGGCCAUGCCGCCGACACCCAGCCCGAGAACGCUCAUGUCAAGCUUCUUGAAUGAAGACUUCAGCUCUGGUCAAUUCUCCAAUUUUUUCGGCGAACAUGUGAGCAACAAGCCCCAUGAUCAAUCAGAGAAGAGAGGAGAGCUUGUGGAUUUGAGGGAGCAAGUGCCUGCUCAGUCAGCUACAGAUACAGCUACACCCCAAAAGGAUUUUUCCCUGCAACCAAAUUCGUUCAAUGCUAAUCAGAAAUCAAACCCACAGGGAUCUCUAGCUGAGCGCAGGGCUUCGAGAGCUGGUUUCAGUAUCCCCAAGAUUGAUACAUCUCGUGUGGGUUCAUCCACAGUUAUUCGAUCACCCAUAGCAAUUCCACCUGGUCUUAGUCCAACUACUCUUCUUGAGUCACCGGUCUUUCUCUACAAUGCUAUGGCACAGCCUUCUCCAACCACUGGCAAACUGUUCGUUGCUUCAGAGGCUAACUCAACAAUGCCACCAGAUAGCACGUUCAGUAACGAUGUUUUUUCCUUCCAACCCCACUCUGGCCCAACAAGUUACUCAAAUGUGGAAAAGGGUUACACUGUUUGCCACCAAAACCAGUCGUUGUCAAAUAUUCAUCAGCAGGGAUCCAGUCUUCAGUCAAGCUUUACUGCAGCCAAGGACAGUGCCGACGAAACAAUCGUUAAACCGAAGACAUCUGACUCUGUGUUCAGUGAUAAUCACUCUUCUGAAGAACAGGAAGAUGACGAGGGAGACCAAAAUGAAGAAUACUCUUCUGCCACAAAUAGCAACCCAGCUGAAGAUGGAUAUAACUGGAGAAAAUAUGGACAGAAGCAAGUUAAGAGCAGUGAGCAUCCAAGGAGCUAUUACAAGUGCACACACCCAGAUUGCCCUGUCAAGAAAAAGGUGGAACGCUCUCAAGAUGGUCAGAUAACAGAGAUAGUCUACAAGAGUUCUCACAAUCACCCUUUGCCGCCUCCAAACCGCCGCUCAGGUAUCCCUUCGUUGCAAAUUAAUGAUCCACAAGUCCAUCUUCUAGAGAAACCUGGUUUGCACACAGGGGUCAACACUGCAUCUUUGUGGGAAAAUGGUAAAAGUGAGUGCAUUCAAGAUAUGCAAGGUGUUGAGGGAAGACCAGCUGCUGGCCCUCCUGUAUCUGCAUAUGGUGAUACAUCUAUCAUGGAGUCCCAAGAUGCAGCUGAUGUCUCGUCAACGCUGUCCAAUGAGAUUGAUAGAGCAACACAAGGCACCAUUUCUUUAGACUGUGAUGUAGGUGAAGAUGAGACUGAAUCCAAAAGAAGGAAACUGGAUGCUUUAGCUGCUGUUACCAUUCCUACUGCGACCACCACCAGUUCAAUUGACAUGGUGGCUGCAGCAUCAAGAGCUGUCCGGGAGCCUCGUGUUGUGGUUCAGACAACAAGCGAGGUUGACAUCCUUGAUGAUGGUUAUCGCUGGCGCAAGUAUGGUCAGAAGGUUGUUAAAGGAAACCCAAAUCCAAGGAGCUACUACAAAUGUACGCACCAGGGCUGUUCAGUGCGCAAGCACGUGGAGAGAGCGUCGCAUGAUCUGAAAUCCGUGAUCACGACAUACGAGGGGAAGCACAACCAUGAAGUUCCAGCAGCCAGAAAUAGCGGGAACGCGGGCAGUGCUCCAGCAUCUGCGCCGCAGGCCAAUCUCUCACACCGCAGGCAAGAACAAGCGCAAGGCAGCUAUUCUCAGUUUGGUGGCGCGUCUCCCUUCGGUUCCUUCGGCCUUCCGCCUAGAGGCCAUCUGGGAGCGGCAGGCAACUUCCACUUCGGGAUGGCCCCUCCAGGCAUGUCGAUGCCGCCGAUGCCCGCCGCUCGCCAUCCGUCAAUGAUGCAGGGCUACCCGGGGCUCAUGAUGCAGGAAGGACAGAUGAUGCAGGAAGGACAGAUGAAGGCGGAGCCAGACCAGCAGUCUGGCUUCGCAGCGUCAUCGGCUUACCAACAGAUGAUGGGCAGGCCCCCCUUUGGUCCCCAGAUGUAA
rnacentral:rRNA from 1 species